UGAUGCCCAUCAACAAUAACUCCAGCAUCCCAGAAGCUCAGCCCAGAGGACAACAUGAGGGUCAUGAGGGGUACCAUAACCACUAUGCUGGGAAAGACCCCCAUCAGCAGCACACCCCAACUUUGGAGAAGAUAGGACAAACAGUGGGAAGGAACAAUGCUGUCCCAUAGGACCUUAGACUUCCCUGUGGUCAUUUACCUGUUCCUGUUUCCAGGUUGCCAAUGGCUUCCUGAGACAUGCUAUCGUUACCCUGUGAGGUUCUUGGGUCAGGUGCCUUUGUUCUACACUUGGUGAAUUUUAGUGCCAACAGUUGAACCAAAUCUCUUUCUUCAAGACUCCAUCUUCCUUUUUAUUAAAUGACUGUGAUUAGAAGGGGGAGGGAAGAAGGCAGGAAGCAAUUAAAUCAUAUAAUUCUCAUUAUUUGAGUUAUGUUCUGGUAGUAUUUGGAAUUCACAAGACGUUUCCUCCCCCACGCUCCAAGUCAUGUCAGUUGAUGUCUUGUGGUUAUGGGCUUGGGCUAGCAGACAGAUUCAAGCUUGUAGGAGCAGCCAGGCAAUUUUUCUCCAUAGUGUCCACCAGCCCUGCUAGCCCUGUUGGCCUUGGUGGACCAUAGCUAAGAACAGUGGAUCUGGCUGACUUUUCUUCAUUAAUCAAAGUCUUCUUUAUAGGUCCCACUGAGUUUACUCAUCACUAAUCAAGCGCCUCAGAGACUUCUCCGAUGGAGAUGGUGCAGGGCUGCCUGUCUUUCCAUCCGCUUUUGUAUGCUCAUGCACAGGCGCUUAACUAAAUAAUCAUCUUCGUUAAAACUAUGAAAAUGAUGUCCUGUGUGCAAGGUGGUGCCUCAUGGAGGCCCAGAGCGCACAAGCUCGCACAAGCCCGGAUUGCCUGGGGUGAUGGUGCACUGCUGUAGGCAGCUUACCAGCAGGACCAGCAGGGCUCCUGGAGCUUCCUUCCCACAUGGAGGAGGAGGAGGAAGGUCCCUUGUGCUCUGUCCUUAAAGUUCAGAAGUACCAAGAAGCAAGGGAAGCUGUGGUACCCAAGGAAGGCCUGGUAUCCUCUUACUGCGAUGGGCAAGAGACCUACAGCUCCAUCCCUACAUGGUGUAGGAACUGCUUAGCAGGGUGCUGCCUGCUUCUGGGGGCGUGGUUCUAGACCAGGCUUCAGUAGAUCUUUUAGAAAAGCAGGUAAGGACUGCUGGCUUCCAUUUCUGUUCUGAGUCCCGACUGGAAGGUAGCGCCAUCUCUAUUCUGCAGUGAGCGUCACAGACGGUACCAUCUUGCUUCGAAUUGGAUUACAAAUGGAGGGAAGGAGGGGUCAUUUCACACCUACAUGUGAGGUGUCCUUUGAGUAAAGAAUGACUGACUGAUUUCAUGUGGUCUGGGUUGUCCACCAACACUCCCUUAGCCAGGGACAUGCCUGUUCUGUCACUCCAAACCAUCUUGGCAAUCUGCCAAGCAGGCAGGGUCAUUGUCAUGCCCUGCACCCCUUUCAGUGAG
rnacentral:lncRNA from 1 species